rnacentral:rRNA from 1 species
AUAUCAAUAAGCGGAGGAAAAGAAACCAACAGGGAUUGCCCCAGUAACGGCGAGUGAAGCGGCAACAGCUCAAAUUUGAAAUCUGGCCCUCGGGUCCGAGUUGUAAUUUGAAGAGGAUGCUUUUGGUGCGGUGCCUUCCGAGUUCCCUGGAACGGGACGCCAUAGAGGGUGAGAGCCCCGUCUGGUUGGAUGCCAAACCUCUGUAAAGCUCCUUCGACGAGUCGAGUAGUUUGGGAAUGCUGCUCAAAAUGGGAGGUAUAUGUCUUCUAAAGCUAAAUAUUGGCCAGAGACCGAUAGCGCACAAGUAGAGUGAUCGAAAGAUGAAAAGCACUUUGAAAAGAGGGUUAAAUAGUAC